rnacentral:rRNA from 1 species
GAUCCUGGCUCAGAUUGAACGCUGGCGGCAGGCCUAACACAUGCAAGUCGAACGGUAACAGGAAGCAGCUUGCUGCUUCGCUGACGAGUGGCGGACGGGUGAGUAAUGUCUGGGAAGCUGCCUGAUGGAGGGGGAUAACUACUGGAAACGGUAGCUAAUACCGCAUAAUGUCGCAAGACCAAAAGAGGGGGGACCUUCGGGCCUCUUGCCAUCGGAUGUGCCCAGAUGGGAUUAG